GAUGAACGCUGGCGGCGUGCCUAAUACAUGCAAGUCGAGCGAACAGACGGUGAGCUUUCUCCCUUGACGUUAGCGGCGGACGGGCGAGUAACACGUGGAUAACCUACUACUAAGACGGGGAUAACUUCGGGAAACCGGAGCUAAUACCGGAUAAUACAUUCAACGGCAUGGAUCAAUAGUUAAUGACGGCUUUGCUGUUUCUAAUAGAUGGUUCCGCGCCGCAUUAGCUAGUUGGUAAGGUAACGGCUUACCAAGGCAACGAUGCGUAGCCGACCUGAGAGGAUGAUCGGCCACACUGGAACUGAGACACGGUCCAGACUCCUGCGGGAGGCAGCAGUGGGGAAUCUUCGGCAAUGGGCGAAAGCCUGACGGAGCAACGCCGCGUGAGUGAUGAAGGUCUUCGGAUCGUAAAACUCUGUUAUUGGGGAAGAAAAAAUGUGUAAGUAACUAUGCACGUCUUGACGGUACCUAAACAGAAAGCACCGGCUAACUACGUG
rnacentral:rRNA from 1 species